UUCUUUUUUUUUUUAAUUUUUUUUUUCAACGUUUAUUUAUUUUUGGGACAGAGAGAGACAGAGCAUGAACGGGGGAGGGGCAGAGAGAGAGGGAGACACAGAAUCGGAAACAAGCUCCAGGCUCUGAGCCAUCAGCCCAGAGCCUGACGCGGGGCUCAAACUCACGGACCGCGAGAUCGUGACCUGGCUGAAGUCGGACGCUUAACCGACUGCGCCACCCAGGCGCCCCUCCUGUUCUUUCUUUAGGGAUGAAUUCCUUCAUUCCAUCAUUUUGAAGGAAGUGAAAGACUGCCAAGUUCUGUGGUUAAAGUUGUGCAGAUUGUUGUGUUAAUCCUCAAAUCAGUUUUCUAGGUGUGCAAGAUGGUUUGGCCUUGAUCUAGCUGCAUUUCAGGGACAAGACAGGCAAAAAAAAGUUCCAUUCUUCUCCACCAUCUUGGCCUCUCCAUUAAUUAUUAUUUCUAAUAAAAACUACCUUUUAUAUGUGUCAUGACUUUUUUUUUCUUUUUUUAAUAUAUAUUUUUAAAAUUUAUUUAUUUUUGACAGAGAGAGAGACAGAACGUGAGCAGGGUAGGGGCAGAGAGAGACAGAAACACAGAUCUGAAGCAGGUUCCAGGCUCUGAGCUGUUAGCACAGAGCCCGAUGCAGGGCUGAAACUCAUGAACCAUGAGAUCAUGACCUGAGCCGAAGUCAGCCGCUUAACUGAGCCACCCAGGUGCCCCAUGACUUUUUUUUUCUCCCAGGAACCUAGAAAUUUGGAAGAGUAUAACCAGUUGUGGGAAAACCCAUGUACUGUUUGUAUUUUUUCUUUAAAAUAUAGCCACAUAUGUUUUCAAACAUAGCUACAUAGAUUUUCUUUAAAACAUAAUUAUGUAAGUUAUAAAGAAAAAAUAAAAAAAAUACAUUUAAGUUCUUUAUAUGUUUUGAAUACCAACUCUUUAUCUGAUAUGUCAUCUGGAAAUAUUUUCUCCCAUUCCAUAGAUUGCCUUUACUUUUGUUGAUUGUUUCCUUCACUGUGCAGAAGCCUUUUAUUUUGAUGAAGUCCUGCCACUCUGGACAACAGUAUGGAGGUUCCUCAAAAAGUUAAAAAUAGAACUACUCUACAGUCUAGCAAUUGCACCACUAUGUAUUUACUCAAAGAAUACAAAAAUACUAAUUCAGAGAGAUACAUGCAUCCCCAUGUUUAUAACAGCAUUAUCUACAGUAGCCAAACUAUGGAAAUAGCCCAAGUGUCUGUCGACUGAUGAAUGGGUAAAGGCAAUGUGCUACCAGUGGUGCCUGGGUGGCUCAGUUGGUUAAGUGUCAGACUUCAGCUCAGGUCAUGAUCUCAUGGUUCGUGAGUUCAAGUCCUGUGUCAGGCUCUGUGCUGACAGCUCGGAGCCUGGAGCCUGCUUUGGAUUCUGUGACUCCCUCUCUCUCUGCCCCUCCUCCUCUUGCACUCUGUCUCUUUCUCUCUCAAAAAUAAACAUUAAAAAAAUAAAAAGAGAAGAGAAAAUGUGGUACAUAUAUACAAUGGAAUAUUAGCCACAAAAAAGAAUGAAAUCUUGUCAUUUGCAACAACGUGCAUGGAGCUAGAGAGUAUUAUGCUAAGUGAGAGAAGUCAGUCAGAGGAAGACAAAUACCAUUUGAUUUCACUCAUAUGUGGAAUUUAAGAAACAAAGCAAAUGAGCCAAGGGAAAAAAGAGAGAGAUGCAAACCAAGAAAGAGACUCUUAACUGUAGAGAACAAACUGUUGGUUGCCAGAGGGGAGGUGGGUGGAGGCAUGGGGUAAAUAGGUGAUGGGGAUUAAGGAGUGCACUAGUGAUGGUGAGCACUGGGUGUUGAGUCACUAAAUUCUAUACGUGAAACAAAUACUACACUGUAUGUUAACUAACUGGAAUUUAAAUAAAACCUUUAAAAAAAGACGAAUUUUUUAAACUAAGAAAAAUGAUGAGGGGCAAGCUUUUAAGAAGCACCGUCUCCAAACCACCAAGUCUUGUGGUGGACAAUUUAUCUUUACUGUUUUGUGAAUUUUCACAGUAGUCUUUUUAAAGUUAAGGAUAAUAAAUCACAGAGAGAUGAAACACUUUGUUUAGUUCAGCUUUGCCAGGUCUGUCUGGCUAUCUAACCUUGAUGACUCAAAAUUGUAUAUAUUUUUUAUCUCUUCCGAAUGAAAAAGCAUACUAUCUGAAACCUUGGGCAGGACUCGGUUCUCCUGUGGUUUAAUUUCUCAUUUUACAUAAGAAGAAAUGAUGUAAUAAUCCACUUUCCAAAGCUUACAAAACAGGUUCCUGAGAGAUUGCCAUAUAGUGACAUGGUAGUUGGUGAUGCAGACCUAGCAGCAGGGCUUCCCUGAGGACAGAGGAAGAGCUGGAAGUACACACCCUACCCCUAUAAAUGAUUGACAGGGAAAUGGUAGAGGAAGUGGUAGGUACUAACUGGAGCUGGAGGAACAAUUCUGUGGGGAGCUGAGCCUUCCCCACUCCCAUUUAAGAGUAGCAGGUUGACAUGAAGGACAGACAGACAUUAGUACACCUGAGCUUUCCCCUUCCCUUUUCAGAAUAAGGAACAUAGGUCACAAGGGCAACCUGCAACAGCCAGCAUCCAUCCGAUCCUUCCCAUGUGCCUAGCACUAUGCAUCAACCUAUUAAAUCUCAUUUAAUGGCUGCAACAACCUUAUGAAGGGUUUUGUUAUCUCUGUUUUACAGAAGGGGCAACUGAGGAUUUGAGAGUAUAAGUGUCUUGCUCAAGAUCACAAAGCUGGGUAAGAGUUGGAGAUGAUGCUUCUGAGGCUGCAUAUGGGAUGUGAGAACAGCUUGCUCUUGCCCAGCCUGAGGCCCUGGAGGGAUUUUCUUUUCACUGCAAGACUGGCAACAGCUGUGAACACAUUUCUUGUUGGUGGCCGUGACUUCUGUUUUCAAGCACUUCCAAAGAUCCUCCUGGUUGCUGAGGACCAUUCUACACUCCUGCCUUCAUAGCCCUAAGGCCAGCCUAGGCCAUGCCUUCAUUUUCCAGGAUUCCAUGCAGGAACUUUUGGACUCCCAACAAGCUCCCAUCGGAGCUUAACAGGUAGGAGACACAGGCCCAAGGACUCUUAGAAGUUGUCAUCAGGCAACUCUUCCUGCCACUCUCUAGUCCUUCUCUAGUCUUGUCUCAUGGAAUCUUUAUUGAAUCUAAACUGACAAACUCAUGAUAACCAGUAUUACUUCUGUCCUUGUUGUUCAAACCAGGACUCAAAUGAUGCAGAGGAUUCAAGAAUUUUCAGCUCAAAAGCCUUCUUCACAAAGCCAUAGUUUCUUCUAAAGAUUCAUGAUUGUGUUUGAGCCUCAAAAACUGAGUCUGGAUCACUAGAUGUUGGGCAUGUUGGAGUUGAUUUUAUUAUAAACUUUUAUGGCAUACAUAUAUAUUAUAUAUGUAUAGUUUUUCAUGAGUGAAUAUUUAAAAAAAAACCAAACUGAUCAGUAACUUUCUGUAUCUUGGCAGUACAAUUCAACUCUGAAAGUAUGAGGCUGGAACACCUGGCUGCCUGGACUUCUGGUGGCAGGGACUCUAGGAAACAAGGACGUGCAGGAGAUGGAGGCCAUACAUUACAAAUUAUUCAAAUAAUCAUCAUUCCACAUAUAUGGAAUCAUUCAUUUUUAUAAGUCUGAUGAGGCAUUAAAUGUUAUGAUACUUCUAAUCUCAUUAUAAUAAAAGCUUAUUCUUUUUUUUUAAGUUUAUUUAUUUUUGACAGAGACAGAGUGGGAGCAUGAGCCGGAGAGGGGGGUGGGCAGAGAGAGAGGGAGCCUCAGAAUCCUAAGUAGGCUCCAGGCUCCAAGCUGUCAGCACAGAGCCUGACGCGGGGCUCGAACUCGUGAACUGUGAGAUCAUGACCUGGGCUGAAGUCGAUGCUUAACCGACUGAGCCACCCAGGCACCCCUAAAAGCUUAUUCUUAUAGUCUACUGAAGGGCUCAGUUUUUUUUCUCGUGAAAUUAUUAAUCAUAAUCAAUAAAAUAUGGAAGAGGAUAAUUUUUUUUAUUUAAGUGCUUCAGCAGAAAAUGUAUUUAAACAUAAUAAUUUUAAUUUUACAUAUUUUUCAUGUUGUUUAAGAUAAGGGUAUAUUUUGAGGGGUGGACUAGAGUGCUUUAUCGCCAUUGGAACGUAGGAUUAAAAUGGUCAGUAAUAUUGUGAGUGUCUAGCAGUUGCCCUGGGCGCUGUCUGGCAGGCCCCUGAUACCCUGAGGAGAGCAGAGCCUCUGGAACCAGACUGCUUGAUUGCAUAUGCUGGCUUUUCUCUCUCUCUCUCUUUUCAUUGUUUCAAGUUUUUAUUUAAAUUCUCAUUAACAUAUGGUGUAAUAUUGGUUUCAGGACUAGAGUUUAGUGAUUCAUCACUUACAUGAAACACUUAGUGCUCAUCCCAACAAGUGCGAUGCCCAUCACCCAUUUAAUCCAUCCCCCUGCCCACCUCCCCUCCAGUAACCCUCAGUUUGUUCUCUAUAAUUAAGAGUCUCUCAUGGUUUGCUUCUUUUUCCCCCUAUAUUCAUCUGUUUUGUUUUUUAAAUUCCAAAUAUGAAUGAAAUCAUAUGAUAUUUGUCUUUCUCUGACUGACCUAUUUCACUUGGCAUAAUACUCUGUAGCUCCAUCCACAUUUUUGCAAAUGGCAAAAAUUCAUUCUUUUUGCUGGCUGAGUAAUAUUCCAUUGUGGUGUGUGUGUGUGUGUGUGUGUGUGUGUGUGUGUGUGUGUGUGUAUCUAUAUCUAUCUAUAUUAUCUAUUCAUCAGUUGAUGGACAUUUGGGCUCUUUCCAUAAUUUGGCUAUUGUUGAUAAUACUGCUAUAAACAUCAAGGUGUGUAUACCCUUUGAAUCAAUAUUUUUAUAUCCUUUGGAUACCUAGUAGUACAUUAUUGGAUUGAAGGAUAGUUCUAUUUUUAACUUUUUUAGGAACCUCCAUACUGUUUCAGAGUGGCUGCAUCAGUCUGCAUUCCCACUAACAGUGCAAAAGUGUUCCCUUUUGUCUGCAUCCUUGCCAACAUCUAUUGUUUUCUGUGUUGUUAGUUUUAGCCAUUCUAACAGGUGUGAGGUGAUACCUCAUUGUAGUUUUCAUUUGCAUUUCCCUGAUUAUGAGUGAUGUUGAGCAUCUUUACAAGUGUUUGUUACUGACUUUUCUCUUAAUGAACAACCUACCUAUGUGUUCAACUUCCUUACCUGUGAGAUAGCAACAAUAACACUACUGCAGAAGGUUGUUGUAGGGAUAAAAUGAGUUAAUGUAUGUGGAGAGUUAGGUCAGGGAAUGAAAUCUUAACCAUUAAACCUUGCCUUUUACCCAAAUCCAAAUGAACACUUUUUCCCUCAUAAACAUGAUGUCUCAGGGCCAUAAUCAUUAGACUGACAGACUUCUCACAAACAGAGGACAGACAGACUUGUUUCAGAAUACUCCUGUCAAUGGAUGUUGUCAGGUUACAUCCUUGGGCAAUUAUUGGAUAUUUACCAUGUGUCAAGUGGUAUGCUUGGGUGGAUGGCAGGAAUAUGAAGUGGCCUUAAACGUGGUCUGUCUCCAUGGAAUUUAGAAACAUGACAAUAAAAUGGGCACAUAAUGGGUAGUUUUCAGAGCAAGAUAGUUUGCACAGGGUCAGUUGAAACCAUAAUUGUGCAAAGAGAGUUUAGCUUAUGUUGACAUGGACUGGUUGUCCAGGACUUUGUAUGUGGUACUCUACUUCAUGCUUCUUUUAUUAGAAAGAUAUCUUUUUCCUCCUUGAGGAAGCUUUCACUGACUCUACUGCCAGUCUCCUCUGGCACACUGGGCAAAGAAUGGGGAGGGCAUUCCAUGUAGGAGGAACAAUAUAAACAAAGCACUGAAAACAUUGGAGAGCAAGGAGAUCCUACAUGGGAUUGGUUUUGUGAAAAGGUAGUGUGUACCAUGGAACGUGAUAGGAGUGUUACUGAGACAGGGCAGGUGAUGGCAGGCCAUCAGAAGCUUUUAGGCAAAAUAUUGUUAUAAUCAGGCUUUACAUGUUAGGAAAUAAUCCAAUGUCCAUGUGGAGGAUGGUGUUCCCAGAGACAGGACGGGAGAUAGGGAAAUCAUUAGGAGGCUAUUGUAAUAGUCCUAGUGAGGCUUGUUGCUGGCACUUGUUGUGGCUUAGUCAGUGGUCAUAGGCAUGGAGAGGAGGGCAUGAGCUAUUUGGGAGGAAAAAUCUGCAGAGGUCAGGAGUCAUAUGAGUGAUUGGGAUUCAUUAGAAUAUGUCAUUGCCUGAGAUAGGGGACAUAGGAAAAAAAGCAGGAUCAGACAGAUGGGAAUCGUGAGUGUAAAGAACCCAUUAGACAUCCAGAUAGCAGAGUCUUGUUGAGGUCAGAUGUGAGUCAGUUACUAGCAUAUGUGGAUGAAAUGGGCCAGAGAGUAUGUGGACUGGGCAGAGUGGUAGGCCAGGAUGCGGUCUGGGAAACACUCAUAUUUAAAGGUGGGAGGAGAAAGAAGAGACACAAAGGAGCCUGAGAAAAAGCAGAGAUGGGGGCGGGGACAGGACUGUAGGGAAUGGGAAGGAAGUGGGAGGAAACCAGUGUGGCUUACAUUUGAAAACUUGGCUAGUCAGGUUUGGAGAGACAAACACUAAUUAUAAGAGAAUAGGCAGAAAAUAGGUAAGCAAAGGGAAGUUUGAAUAGGAAAACCAGGAUAAUCCUGCUGGAAUGGUCCAGGCAUGGGGUUGUGACUGUAUGAACCAGAGUGACAACAGAGAAUAGAAGAAAAGGACACUAGGAGGCUGGUAGACUGGGCAAAGAUGAUGCUAUUGUCAGGAAGGUCAUCCCCAGUCAGGCUACUUCCAGGGAUAUGUUCUUCUAGGUUGAUCAUAGUGUAGAAAUUACAUAUAAAACAGAAUGUAAUAGUGUUAUUAUUGAAAAUCAGAUUCUAUUUGUAUAUACUAGUAAAAAGUGUUUCAGUGAUGUUUUUCACAGGCACUCACUUUUUUGUAAUUUAUUUUGACAGAGAGAGUAUGUACAAGUGGGGGAGGGACAGGGAGAGAGAGAGAGAGAAACAGAGAGGGAGAGAGAGUCACAAGCAGGCUCCCUGCUGUCAGUGCAGAGCCUGAUGUGGGGCUAGAUCUCAUGAACCAUGAUAUCAUGACUUGAGCCAAAAUCAAGAGUCAGAUGGUUAACGAACUGAGCCACCCAGGUGCCCCAUGGGCACUCACUUCUUAUUUAAAUGUGCUGAGACUGUGCCUUAAAGUGACAAAUAAAGAUAAUACAAUUUGCAUCUCUCAACUGGAGGGCAACUAGUAUAACAUACUGUGUAAACUCUCAGACUCUGCUAGUUCCCACUUGUUUAAAGAUGGAGCAGUAGAAUACCUUCCUGAAAAUGUUGUUUUGAUAACUCAAUGAGAUCAGUGUGCACAUAAACAUAGUGACUGGCACAUGAUAAGCACAGAAGAAAAGAUUCAUUGUUAGUGUUAUUCUUAUAGUGGAAGUUACUCUUAUGUGUGAUUUUUAUGCAAAUUGAAAUUUAUUGUACAGUUUCAGUAAUUUGAAAAUUAUUAUUAUAAGUAAGCUUAUAUUUGCUUCCAAGCUAUUAGCAAGAAGGAGAUAUUAUUAGCAAAAUAAAACGUACAGAAAUUAUUAAAAGGAAAUAUUUACCUACUUGAGAAAGCUGCUUUUUCACCAUUUUAGGAAAGCUCUUCAUAUACACAUGAUUGAAUUCCAUGUAAACUAAAGCUAAUGUGCAGAUAAUUGGAGUACAUUAGAAGUUAUUCAAAUCUGUUAAGGAGUGCAGAAUGUCUACUAAAUAACAUUUAGCCCAAUUUAGCCACAGGGAACUUAGUCUUAAAAUUCUGUUUGUUUGUAUAUAUUCUAUAGCAGAAAAAUUGUAUUCAGUUCAGAAAAUAUUUCUUUCCAAUAGGUCAAAAUUACCAGGGAUUUGGUAACUUUUUAGUUUAUUUUGGGGUGUGUAUGAUUUUAUGGCCGAGACUAGGAAGGGCUUUAUUUUAUGUUCCCUCUGAAAUGUGGCAUUCUCUGGGACUGUAUUAUACAUAUGGGAAGUAUUCACUAAAUAUUACUAGUAUUUGUGCAGAAAUAAAAUAAAAUUUUUGUAAUAAUUUCAGAAAUUGGUUCAUCAUUGCAUGCAGUUUAUUGGAACAUUUUAAUGUUUAUUUUAGUCAUCUAGUGUCAGGAUAGGAAGAUAUCUUACUUUAAUUAAUGGUUUGAUUAUCUUCUGGAGCAUGUAUUUACAUAUUAUUUCUCUUUCUUUCCCAGAGAAUAGACUAAUUCACUGUAACUAGUCUUCCUGAAAAUUUGAUGCUUACCAUCAGGCUGUGGCUAUUGUAUUUAUGAGCAAGCAACAAGAGUCAGGUUUCUUCUCAUGGACGACUAAGGUUUCAUAUCAAGGAGUAUUUUAUUUAUCAAUCUCAUUUCCUUCAUCAAACUCUGUGAGAUGUGAUCUAUUUUAAACUCAAUAUGAAAUAUACUAAGAUUUGUAACAGUCUUGAAGUAAAUUGAUUUCUCAAAAGGUUUUUCAGUUAGCUAUUGAUUUCCCUUUUCACAACUGUGGUUUUGGUCUUCAGUGUAGAAUAAAGAAAAGAGAUGAGUUUCACCCUUCCUUGUCCAGGGUGAAUUUUAGGCCUUCUUGAGUUAAGUCAAAAGAGAAAUUAUUAUAUAAUCUUUCACUCCCAUUGUAGGUGAGAUUGCUCAUCCAUUGUAAUGAAGAUAUUUCUCCCCCCUCCCCCCAUUUGACAAUAUCUGUUUCCUGUCUUUGGAGAAAAGCAAUACCUUUUCAGAAACGAAUCUGAAGGGAUUCCAGCAUGGUCUGUAUGGCCUGAUUUAGUUGGAGGUAGGGGGUCAAGUUUGAGAGAAACUGUCUGAACUGGGGAAGAAGAUCCCCAAGAUGCCAGAACCCCAUCUUGAUAAUGUUUUUGGUCUUCCUUCUUCGAAAUCUCUAAAAUAUCUAUUUCAGGGAGUCGUACUGAAUAAAAUAUUCCAAUGAGGUAAUCUAAUUGUUUAUAGCACUUCACUAAAUCCAAUAGUUUAUGUGCAUCUAUAACUUUAUAUUUUGUGACUUGUGAAAUGACCUAAACCUCAUUGAUCAAGUCAGAUAAGACUUGGUCUUCCCAAUCACUGUUUUAGUUUCUCCAAAAGAAGAAGAAGAAGAAGAAGAAGAAGAAGAAGAAGAAGAAGAAGAAGAAGAAGAAACAACCAUGCAUUAAAAAAUGGGCAGUACUUACCAAGAGCAAAACAAACAAACAAACAAACAAAACCCCCUUUUAGGAGCCUGAUGCUUGAUGAGACUUGACAAAAGAAAUGAAUUCUGUGAUAGAUCCUCUGAUUUUAAGUCUAAGGAGCCCCUUUGUUAGCAUUAUAAGCAGUAUGCAAUUAAAAACACUCUUGGUGAAUCUUUUUAUUUUUCUUAAACAUAUUGUGAUUUCCCAGUCUCUUAUUUUUCCACAUCUAUUUCAUCUAUUCAUUGAGGUUUCAAAUUCCCUUAAAAACCAGAUAAAACCUUUUUUUCCCCAAUGAUAAGAUUUCAAGCACAAAUAGAGUGUGGGGGUUGAGUAAUUCACAUUCACCCUAAGGUAUACAAUGACUAACACCAGUCUUUUCACAAAGCAGAGAUCAUUUGCUCCUCAAAUCAAGGGCCUGAAACUGGUCUGUUCUAGGAGCAGGCAUAAUGCAAAUUGGAUGUGUUGUUCACCAUUUCUUCUGUUUCCGUGUGACUCUGUUUAUGUCUUGAAUCACCAGAUUGACUCUAUAUAUCACCAAUAACACAUUCAUCACUUCUGCAUGUUAUCUCUUGGCUUUUGGAUAGUGUAUAGAAUUGGAAUAAUUAUAACUCAGGCUGUUCAUAGAUUAAAAACAUAUGAUUUGAAACAAACAUACCUUUAAGAAAAGACAACAUUUGGAACUUGUUAUCUUGUAAGAAUAAUUUUUUUUGAAAAGACAAUCGUAUGGGAUUCUAAUGCUCUGGCUGACCUAAGAGAGGAGCAGUAAGGGGCUUAAUGCUUUUCUUUCCUCACACAGUUUUCCUGGCCAGUGCCUGCGAUCUGAAUGAUUGGCAAGCCCUGUAACUGAGUUCUUGGGAAAACAAAUGAUCUCAUAGAUGGAGCUGCUCCAUGUUAGGAAGUGCAAGAAUUAUGAAAUGCAGUCACAGCAGGGAAAGAAGUUUGUUUGCAUUUGGAUGGCGACCUUUUGUUUCUAAGCACCUCUGAAUCAUGGGAUAUGCUUGAGGCAACCAGAUGUUGGAAGAGCAUCUGCACUUCCCUGAUUAGUUUCUGGUGGCUGCAGCCAUGCCCCACUGUUAAGUUGACAUCUGGGAGUCCCAAAAUUUGGAUGAUGCCAGUUGUGAAGCUGUGAGUUUGUUUGCUCUCUUUGUGAGAACUAAAAUAUGUCUCCACACAUUGCCAAAUGUUCUCUGGGGCAAAAUCAUACCUGACUAGAACCACUGCUAAGAGAAAGCAACAAGAGAAGUACUGUCUUUGGGUGGGUUUUCAUCUCUGGAAGGCAGGAGAACAGCUUUGGGUCGUUUGGGUACAGAGACUGGGAAUUCCAAGAUGCCUUAGUAUCUGGCGAAAUGUAGAGGCUUCUACUUGGCUCAUGCAGGGUGAGUGCAGAUUAUCUUUGACAUUUACUGGAUGGGGACGUUUUUGCUACAGGAAUGAAGUGUUUUCCAGUUUAUUUUAAACUGAGACCUCUCAAUUCACUGUGAUAGUUGGUUUGGCAGACUUAGUUGCCUUUAAAAACUCCUCCAUCUUGAAUGAAACUUAAAAUGACUCUGAGCCCGGUCGAAGAAGGAAAAGUUGAUGAAGUAACCCCUGGGCACUGCUGCCCUAUGAGUCAUAGCUGGGGAAAAGCAUCAAGGGCUUCUGUCACUGCGUGUCUCAAAGACCUUGAAUGAUGUGGGGAAUGGACUCCAACCGGUCAUCUGGUCACACCCAUGGCUUACUCCCUGGCUCGUGGACUGCUUCUUAUGUUACUUAACUAAGACUACAGAAAAAGUGCCUCAGCAUAUACCACACUCAGAGCCUUUAUGAUCUGGAUGUUCGAAAGGGCAAUGAAACAAAAGAAUAAAGAUAAAAUUAGGUAUUUUUACUAAUGGUUAGAAAAUUUUAAAGCAAUGAAAGAAAGUAGUGUAGCUCAAACGAAUUGCUGAGGGAAGGCAAAGUUCAUGAAAGAAACAUAUUAUGGUUUUGCCUGUAUUUCUUUUUGCUUCUGGACAUGUAAGUAUGAGUUAAUAAGCUUAUAAUGUGCACUAUACAAUAUUAGUUUCUUAUCAGAGGCUUGUUGUCCAAAAUGCUUACAUUAUUGGAUUGAGUUAUAAGUAUGCUUAUUUUCUGAUGACAAAUUUGGGCCCAGGGAAUAUUUCCAAUUGCAUCUGUUGUUUCAUUAUGAAUAUAAUAACACUAAUUAUUUCUGUGACUUAUUUCACUAGAAUCCUGGCAAUAAAACAGCCCUAAUUUUUAGAUUAUUAUAUUACCCUUCCCCAUCAAGAACACUUUCAUAGCACUGAUUAAGAGCAGCACCAAAAGAACAGGCCUCAUAUCAAACAUUUUGGUCCUCUGAAAUGAGAUAAUUGUUUUUAGAACAUAAUAAACAAUAAAGUUUAGCUCCCCAUAGAAUUGAAUUUGAUUCUGAUCUUCAAAUCAAGAAUUAAAUAUUUUGUUAAUGGAUUGAAAUUAGAUGUAAUCUAUGUAAAAACUAGAGAAAGAUAUAUUUUCUUUUUAAAACACAGUUCACACCACCAGGCACAGGUUUCUAUCCUGAGGCCACAAACCCCGUGAAAUGUGUGUGUGUAUGUGUGUGUGUGUGUGUGUGUGUGUGAAAGAGAGAGAAAGAGAGAGAGGGAGAGAAAGAGAGAGAGAGAGAGAGAUGUUGUUUGUCAUUGUCAUUUUUUUCUGGGGCAAGGUAUAUAGUUUUCAUCAAUUCUCAAAAAGGUCUAUGAUUAAGGAUCUCUGCCCAAAGAUAAGCAUACAAUUUCAGGCGAGUGAUUUGGUUAUAAGAGCCUUUUUCUACAGAUGGAAGCUGAUUGUGUUGUAUUUCUGAAAAAAUAUUUUCUUUAUAAUAACAUUUAUCAUCAAAAAUCUUAAUGUUUGAGAAAUUAAAAUGGAGCAUUCUGUUAGUAUUAAAGAAAGAAGUGUUCAAAGAUAGCUUUUGGGAGCUCCCCAGGAUUCUACAAUAUUCUGCAGCUAUGGUCUAUUUUCCUGAAUCAUUAAUAACCAAGAUAUAUGGCCCUAUUUAACUUGACAUCUUAAGGCUUAUAAUUUAGUUGUUUGAUUUUACUUUGUCAUUUGCCAUGUGUUCAUAUUCAUAGCUCUUCAACAGUGUCUAUCUAAAAUUAUGAAAUUCAAUUGUGAGGUGAAUGGAACUUUAGGAUAGCAUUCAAAUAAAUUCCUUCGCUCCAUCCCUUCUUUCCUUCCUUCCUUCUUUUUGUUUUAUUCUUUGUACUUUUUUCAGUACUCUAAAAACUGAAUGUGUUUCGCAAAGCUGUGCAAUAUUACCAGUAAUAGUAACAAAACAAUAAAGCUUGAUUACCUAAGAGAUUGCUCUUUUUUAUGGCUUAUGAUUUAUUUGAGAAAUAGGGGGAAAAAGGCUCCUACCUCAUUAAGUAGGGGGAAAAAAAAAGCUAUCCUCAUUAAACUAACAUCUGAUCUACUGUAGUUUUAACUUUCAUUUCAAAGCACUAAUAACUUGUCAUUUGUAGAAAUGCUUUGAAUAGCAUACCGUCCCUGAUUGACUGCAGGGCUAUAAUUCAAUCACCAGCCUCUACUGACACUAUGAUCCCCAGGGGUGCAGCUUGAGGCUUUAGGAAUGGCAGCUAAGUCCCAAACCUGAAUUACAGCUCCGUUAUUCAAUCCGGAGCCAUGCUUUGUUAUUUAUAGUACAUAGAAAGAGAGUGUGGACUUUUCGAAGGAGGAAGACAAUAAAUCAAACUAACAAGAUGACUGGCUCUAAUAUUAAAAUGUAAAACUCUAUGAUGUAGAGGUAGAAAGAUUAAUGAGCAUAUGACGUAGGGUUAUUAAAGGUGUGAUGGGCAGGAGAGGGUUUGGAUUAUGGGGAAAUUAAAUGAAGUAUUUCACUGGAAGGCAAUCAAGACAGUGGAAGUUUUUAAAUGACCAGCUAAUAGACCUGGUCUUAUUACCGUAGUGAUAGAACCCAGUCCUUUUUGUAAUACCCUUUCUCCUAAAAUCCCCAAGUCUUACUGUCAUGACAAACAAUCACAAAGGCAUGCAAACACUCUCGCAUGUUACUGUUAUGACACUGCCACUGAUGUGUUCUUGCUGCAGUUGCUCUCCUGGGGAUGGGUAGUUGUAACAUUUGGGAAGGCCUGAAACAAAGCAAUAAUGAAGUGAUGGUUUUCAGGAAUGAUCACCAAGUAAUACAUUCACCGUCAUUCAAAGAUAUUAAUGUAAGUUUGAGGAAUGAGAAGAACACCAGGUUUUCCGAUGGUUUCACUUGAGGUAGUAUACCAAUUAAUAGAGUUACAAGUUAAUAUCGGAGGAUCCCAGAUUAUUGGCUCCUGUUUCUGUGUAACAGAAUCAGUUGCUAAAACCAAUUUCUCAGCACGCACCCUUUAACCUUUGCUGUGGUUGUUUUUGCAAUCCAUUUACCUGAUCCCUCUUUCCCCUCUCCUUCAUCAUCCCUUCAAUACUUUAAGCCUCAUUUCCUGUCUAGCAGUUAAUAAAAGAAAAAUGUCACCCCCAUAACCCUUACCCAGGCCACCCUCCCUUUCCUUCAGAUUUAUAGGUCUUUGUCUUAGAGUUAGUUUUUUUCACCUUUGUUUAAAGUUUGUCAGCCUGUCCAAACUUUCAGAAAUCUGCAAGUUGACACUCAGUAUAAUGAUUGAGGUAUCUUUUGUUUAAAUUCAGAUUCCUGAGGCAUUACCAGUGGAAGCACUGUGAAAUAUGGAGGACAAAUCUGGUGUUAAAAAAUAACCCAACCACCCCCAAAACAACCACAGACCUCAACUAGAUAUGGCUGAUCAGCUUUUUUCAGCGUAUAUGAACCUCACUGGAGGUCCAGGAGGACCACAUUCUGUUCCCCUUCUGCUGCAGGGUGCCACCCUGGACGUCUGCUCUUCCUGCAGUCGCUUGCAUGGGGUCUAAGAGGAACCUGCUGUUCUGCUUCAGUACUUCAGUGAAAUUUCAGGGACCAUUUAAUACAGUUGUUUGUGGAGAGACAAACAUUUUAAAAUCUGUGUACUUGAAGGUUGUUCUCACUGCAGAGCAAUUAAUCCUUAAAAAGAAUUUUUAAAAAUUCCUCCUGUAGGGCUCGGUUUGCUAGUGUUAAUCAGUUAAGGGAGAACUAACAAGAUGCAAUACAUUUUCAAAACACUUUUAUUGUUACUUAGAGUAUUAAAAAAAUUU